GACGAACGCUGGCGGCGUGCCUAAUACAUGCAAGUAGAACGCUGAAGCUUGGUGCUUGCACCGAACGGAUAAGUUUCGAACGGGGGAGUAACGCGUAGGUAACCUGCCUGCUACCGGGGGAGAACUAUUGGAAACAAUAGCUAAUACCGCAUAACAGUAGAUAUCGCAUGAUAGCGACUUGAAAGGUGCAAAUGCACCACUACCAGAUAUACCUGCGUUGGAUUAGCUAGUUGGUGAGGUAACGGCUCACCAAGGCAACGAUACAUAGCCGACCUGAGAGGGUGAUCGGCCACACUGGGACUGAGACACGGCCCAGACUCCUACGGGAGGCAGCAGUAGGGAAUCUUCGGCAAUGGACGGAAGUCUGACCGAGCAACGCCGCGUGAGUGCAGAAGGUUUUCGGAUCGUAAAGCUCUGUUGUACGAGAAGAAAGAGUGUGAGAGUGGAAAGUUCACACUGUGACGGUAUCUUACCAGAAAGGGACGGCUAACUACGUG
rnacentral:rRNA from 1 species